UGACCCAAGUCUUCCCCUCUUCGUUCUCUUUCCUUGUCGGUUCCUGUUUUGACGAAAAGUCAUGGAAAUUAUUAAGUAACCUAAAAUACUGUUUUUUUUUUUUAAUUUCCCUCCAUUUUCCAAUCAUAUGAAUGAAGCAGUAAUCGCUUGUAAUUUGCUGCUGUGGAGCUUGACGAGUUUUCGUGUUAUAUUCUUUUGUAUACUGUUUGCUAACUCGUGGCGAUUUUGUUUGGCUUAAUGGCGUGUUGGUGCAAUAGGAGAAGCUGAUGGAGGAGACCCAUAGCAUGGAGUGUAGCAUGGAGUGUAGCAUGGAGUGUAGCAUGGUUCUUGGUAUAAGACAGAAUUCUGUUUUCUAAUGACUGUUACUUCAGGUAUGAGGCCAGCUUGCCCACAUGCAAAGAUGAUUCAUACAACAUAAUUUAUUCAUUUUUCUAUUUAUUUCUGAGACUCAUUAGAAAGCAGAUCAAUCUAAGUCAAUGAAGUUCAAUAUUAUGCUCUGGAAGUUGACUUUACUAAAGAUUCCUUUAAUAAAAUAUUUUAGGAUAUAAAACAGGGAACUGAAAAGAAAAAGGCAAGAAAUUGGGGCAUUCCGAGAAUCGAACUCGGGACCUCUCGCACCCAAAGCGAGAAUCAUACCACUAGACCAAAUGCCCAAUUUUGGAUAUCCAUCAUGUCUGGUAUAUAGUUAGUAGAUCUUUUCUCUUAGAAAUUCUAUUACUUUCCAAUGGACUCAUUCUAGGAAGACUAAAGUUUCUCAAUCUCUCACUUUUGAUGUGGUUCAAUACUUCAAUGUAUCAUUGGCCUGCUACAAUUGAAUGCUAAGGGCUUUUGAAAUUGCAUUAGUACCAGAUUAUAGCGUUUAUCUAUAUUUUAAUCCCAGCAUAUAGUUAUUAAUUCGAAAUAUGGAUCCCCUAGAGGCCAUAACAUCUAUAGGUUAUGAAUCUCCCAAAUUUUAUAAAUAUCUUUUAACCACGAAGUGUCUGACUUUUUAAUCAAUAGUUUCAUAGUUAUUGUACUGAGAAAUUAGAUUUUUUGAUUCGCACGAAAGUAAUUUAAAAAAAUGAAAUUACAGAACAACUAGUCAGCUAGUAGAUACCUAAUCACUACUUAAUGUCCUAAUAAACUUUUCAACCUGGGUCUUUGGACUUAAUUUAAAUGGCAAUGUUGUUUAGUUAUGCAUAAGGUUGUAGGUCUGAAUCACGCCUUUCAGCAAAGGUUGAGGGGUUGGGGCAAGGUGGGAGCUAGCUGCGUAGACCAUCUAGUAUAGCCUAGUAGUUGAUUCAGGAAAAUGAAAUAAAGCAGUCUUUGCGGACAGAGACGAUGGGAACUCACUCAGAAAAGUGGAAAACUACUUUGCCUUUCAGUUCUAUGUUUUUUGCUGAAAUUUAAAUAGGCACUCCAGUAAAUGAUUUGAACCUGCUCUUCAACGUGCAUGGUUAUUCUGUUUAUUUGUGCCCUUUGUUAGUCAAAUUACCCUUUUGUGGAUGCCUAUAAUAAGAUUGAAGGUACAAACACUAAACUUCCGGAAAUGGCAACAAUCUAUUUUUUUUUUACUCACUGCAAAAGAAUCUUGUCAGGAAACAAAUAUAUCUGUUGUUUGACUUUUAGAGUUGACUUUCCGGUUGAUUCUCUGAUUAUAUAUUUGAAAUUAGGGGGAAAAAGGAAAAAUGGGCUGGGGCAUUCCGAGAAUCGAACUCGGGACCUCUCGCACCCAAAGCGAGAAUCAUACCACUAGACCAAAUGCCCUAUCUUGUAUGUUUAGCUGAAUCUGUUUUAGUUAUUAGCUCUUUUCUUCAAGAUUGGGUUAAGUUUUGAUGUUUGUCUGCUGACUUGUUAGCAAAUUGUUCUGCUAUGUGACUUUUACCUCGGUACUCUAACAAAUGGUUGAAGGAUGAGCUUAUUGGACGAUUGGGCAGCUAUCAACUAAUUAUUAAAUUUUGCAUCUUGAUAACCUUUUUCGUUGUUGGACUUUGUAAACUGAACAGCAAACUCUUUUACUGAUAGAAUACGUGGAGGUGCUAUCUACUUUGGCUGCUACUGUCAUUUGGUUAGGCAAGAUUACUGAAGCCUUUCUGUUUGGAUGAGGAUGAUGACUACUAUAGCUCUAAAAUCAAUCUGUAAUUUUGUUGACCUUGGUGGGAAUCCUGUUUUAACCUUUGGUUAAAGGCAUAAUGGUGUCAAAGGAGAGGCUAAUGGAUGAGGCCCAUAGCACGGACUAUAGCUUGGUUCCUGUUAAUGACGGAUGGACUUGCUUCUUACUCAGAGCAAUGAAGAGGCAUAUUUUUUUUCUGUUGGCCUUUCCACUUUCCAUCCUUUUUGAUGCUAAACUGGUUAUUGUUGAUUAAUUGCUUUAUUCCAUUAUUUUCACAGGGCUAUGCAGAA